rnacentral:lncRNA from 1 species
GAGAGUGGAUCGAAGCGUCUGAAAGUCAGAGGUCCUUCAGUUUUAGGGUUUGGAGGUAGUAUGGAGUGAAUAGAUAGCUAGCUGACAAGCAAAAGAGCAGCUUGGCUUGCUUGCCUCUGGAGUGGCUUAUAGAACCUGACUCAGGAUGGAGUGAAUAGAUAGCUAACUGACAAGUAAAAGAGCAUCUUGGCUUGCUUGCCUCUGGAGUGGCUUAUAGAACCUGACUUUGCUAACACUUAUUCUCUAACGGGGAGCUAACAACACGAUAAAAAAGCUAAGCAUUUAGGAGGCAGCAGCAGUGCAACUUUUAACCCAAUCUUUAGUUUAAAGAGGUAUAUUCUUUGUGCAGGCCUCUAAAGUGGGGCAACAAGUAGCACACUGGUGAUUCUUAUGGUGUUUUUCUGUCUUUGGCAGGAGAACCUCUCUCCUUCCAUUCCACAUCCAGAUAGUAGAUUUCGGGUUAUUAGUGAAUUCUUAAGUGGGGCAAGUAGCACACUGGUGAUUCUUAUGGUUCUCGAGCCGGGGUGUUUUUCUGUCUUUGGCAGGAGAACCUCUCUCCUUCCAUUCCACUUCCAGAUGGUAGAUUUCGGGUUAUUAGUGAAUUCUCUCAUGUACAUUUUAUUUUUAACAAAUUGAUCAAUUCUUACGAGGUGCAAAUGGGUAUUUCCACAAGCCCUCUGAUUUAAUGUGAAGUAUGCUGCCUUCCUAGUUAGGGUUCAUUAUUCUUUCUGUAGCUGCGGGUCUUUUUGGCUCGAGACUAUAUGAAUAAAUACAUAGAUUUUUUUCCCUUGCUGUCUUUUUUCCUUUCUCAGAACGUUCUACAUUUUAGAAUUUUUUUUUAAUAUUUACCAAUCAAGUGCUAUAUGUAACAGUUGCGUAUUUUAGGUCUUCGCCUGGUUGAUUAUUUAUAUAUUUGGACUCCCGGCUUUCUUUAUCCUUUUUUUUUUGUUCAUAAUGUAUAUAUUAUGGAGUUGGAAAGACG